UACAGAGGGUGCGAGCGUUUGUCCGGAAUCACUGGGCGUAAAGGGCGCGUAGGCGGCUCAUGAAGGCUGUGGUGAAAGUCCGGGGCUCAACCUCGGAUCGGCCGUGGCGACUCGUGGGCUGGAGCACUGUAGAGGCGGGUGGAAUUCCGGGUGUAGCGGUGGAAUGCGUAGAGAUCCGGAAGAACACCAGUGGCGAAGGCGGCCCGCUGGGCAGUGGCUGACGCUGAGGCGCGACAGCGUGGGGAGCAAACAGG
rnacentral:rRNA from 1 species